GAUCAUGGCUCAGGACGAACGCUGGCGGCGCGCCUAACACAUGCAAGUCGAACGAGCGAGAGAGAGCUUGCUUUCUCGAGCGAGUGGCGAACGGGUGAGUAACGCGUGAGGAACCUGCCCUCAAAGAGGGGGACAACAGUUGGAAACGACUGCUAAUACCGCAUAAGCCCACGGCUCGGCAUCGAGCAGAGGGAAAAGGAGUGAUCCGCUUUGAGAUGGCCUCGCGUCCGAUUAG
rnacentral:rRNA from 1 species